AUUUCAGUACUCUCUGUUCCUUAUUUUUCCAGUGAGAAGGAAGCUGGCUGGGAGUGUUUGAAAUGAAAAUCAUGUGAUUGCAGCUGACUGUAGCAAUGUCAUGGCAAAGCAGCAUUGGAACAUCCACAAUUUUGCCAAAUUUCAUAUCUGCUGGAGUCACAGGUCCAGGAUUUUGGAUGCAUUCUUCAAGUUAGCCCAUUGAAGGGGACUUCUGAAAAGAAAAGUCAAUGAGAGAAGCUGGAUUCACUCAACAACCACAUGAUUCACUUAGUAACUGCAGCAAAAAGGGUAUAAAAUUGAACAUGGUCACAACUGCAUCACUUAGUGAUGGAAGUUCUAUCCCCAAUGGUGGACACAAGUUGAGGACUACCUGAGAAGAAGGAGUGUGGAUACAGUGAAAGGGAAAAUGGGCGAGCAACAC